GAUGAACGCUGGCGGCGUGCCUAAUACAUGCAAGUCGAGCGAACAGACGAGGAGCUUGCUCCUCUGACGUUAGCGGCGGACAGGUGAGUAACACGUGGAUAACCUACCUAUAAGACUGGGAUAACUUCGGGAAGCCGGAGCUAAUACCGGAUAAUAUAUUGAACCGCAUGGUUCAAUAGUGAAAGACGGUUUUGCUGUCACUUAUAGAUGGAUCCGCGCCGCAUUAGCUAGUUGGUAAGGUAACGGCUUACCAAGGCAACGAUGCGUAGCCGACCUGAGAGGGUGAUCGGCCACACUGGAACUGAGACACGGUCCAGACUCCUACGGGAGGCAGCAGUAGGGAAUCUUCCGCAAUGGGCGAAAGCCUGACGGAGCAACGCCGCGUGAGUGAUGAAGGUCUUCGGAUCGUAAAACUCUGUUAUUAGGGAAGAACAAAUGUGUAAGUAACUAUGCACGUCUUGACGGUACCUAAUCAGAAAGCCACGGCUAACUACGUG
rnacentral:rRNA from 1 species